rnacentral:rRNA from 1 species
GUAGGUGGCAAGCGUUGUCCGGAAUUAUUGGGCGUAAAGCGCGCGCAGGCGGUCCUUUAAGUCUGAUGUGAAAGCCCACGGCUCAACCGUGGAGGGUCAUUGGAAACUGAGGGACUUGAGUACAGAAGAGGAAAGCGGAAUUCCACGUGUAGCGGUGAAAUGCGUAGAGAUGUGGAGGAACACCAGUGGCGAAGGCGGCUUUCUGGUCUGUAACUGACGCUGAGGCGCGAAAGCGUGGGGGAGCAAACAGGAUUAGAUACCCUGGUAGUCCACGCCGUAAACGAUGAGUGCUAAGUGUUAGGGGGUUUCCGCCCCUUAGUGCUGCAGCUAACGCAUUAAGCACUCCGCCUGGGAGUACGACCGCAAGGUUG